AGCCUCUUUGCAGUCAGUGCCCAGCCGUGCAAGGGGCAGCCGCCCUGGCCCAGCCACAGCGGGUGAGUCUCUUCAGCUGUGCAGACAGACCAGAGGGGCAGACACAGUGAAGGCGGUGUCUGACCCCGCGCUGUCCCCAACGUUGUGCAUGCAGGCACCGAGACUCCCUCUCCCAGACUCCCGGAAUAUCGCCUCUGCACGCUCCUCUCCGCCCCGCAGGGCUCGCCUUUGUCAUCCACCCCAGAGCAGGGCCCUAGCCGCCCAGAAGGGCCGACACCAAGGAGGGCAGAGGCCGGCGCCGCUGGAGCUGUGGGAUCCAGGAGCUCACGGACCCGUGGCGCCCUUCGUCGCGAUGGCCGGUCGCUGUUCCUGAGUUCCCCGUUCACACGGGCCGCCGGACCUUACAGGAGGCCCCUAUCGAGCGGGGCGCCCUCGCGCGGCCCUUCCGGAAGGACAGACCGGAGGGCGCACCCGGCCGGGCCCAUCAGACUGCCUGGCCGAGUAACUCGAGACCGGCGACAUGUGGCCCAAGUCUCCCCAGAGCGAGGAGGGCCACCCCCCGGCCGGAUUCCCUGGUCUCGGGGGACAGAGCUGGGUCAGAGGCAGAAUUUGUCAUCUGAUUAAGUUGAGAGACCCCAUUCCCGUCUGAAGACCGAGGACUGUCCUGGAGGGUGGGGGACAGCGCUGACAGGCGCGCGCGCAGUCUCAGGCUGGCAUUUCACGAUCCGGGCUCCUUCCGGGCCCUGGGUUCUCCUCGCUGUCCGGGGACCGCGGCAGGUCCCAGCCCUUCCCGCAGGGACUCGGCUGUUGGCGGAGGCGCACGCCUGGCUGGGUGACCACCCCUCCUUGCUACAAGCCCAGAGAGGGUCCUGGGGUGGCCUCUGCAGUCAGGCCGCGCCCCUGCGCACUGAGACGGAAGGAGGCCCAGUGCCGGGCGUGGGCUGUGGAGAGUUCCGGAAGGGGCUGGCGGGGUUGAGCGGACUCCUCACAGGUGCAGAGAAGACUGGGCCCCGGGCGGACCCCCCCCCGCAUCUCCGGUGAAUUUGAGGGGCCAAGAGCAAGGCGAGCUCCAGCCUCAGCUGAACCUGCGCAGGCACCCGGAACACCAGCCGCCCUAUCUCCCGCCCGAGGCCCGGGCUGGCCUGGCCCCGGGGCAGCCCCUCAGCGGCGUCUCUAGCGCGCCCGCUUCGCCGCCUUUGGCCUUCCCGAGGCCGCCGCCCGACCGAGGUGUCAGCGCGAGCGCUCCUCUGCUGCCCCCUGGUGGAUCUGAGGGCAGAGAGACCCAGGCUGAAGGGGCUGCCCUGGGUCUGGAGGUAGAAUAGAGAAAAUACAGGAAUCUCCAAAAAAUUCCUACGUGUCUUAAAGACGCAAUAAGCCUAUAAAUUGGGCUCUGAGCCUGUGCUUUUCACCUGUAAAUUACUUUCUCCCCCAGGCCUCCACCGCAAGGAAGCAGCAAUUCUCAGCUUCAGACAAAGGCGAAAGGUUUGCUUUCUGGCCCAGUUGCUGGAUGGAUGACCUGAGGAGCAGGACAUGCAUCCCCGACCCCCCAAGCCCCUGGAAUUUACCUGGCUCCUGAUCACAAUACUCUCUCUCUCUCUCUCUCUCUCUCUCCCCUGCAUUGUUUUUUUGACACAUACUUUAAAUUUCCAUCUAAUAAACCUCUUUGUGUUUCUAACUGCCCAGUCCUGCUCAGCUCAGCCGAAGUCCAGGACACCUCCCUGGUCCUAGCUCCCGAUCUGGAGGUGGGGACGGCCCUCGGGAGGCUCCUCGGUGGGACAGAUGUGAAGGAAUGAACAGUGGGGCAGAAACUAUCCUGAGAGCGUGCUCGGGUGUAGCAUGCAGAUGGGGGAGAACAGUGGGGUGCGCUGACCCAGCCACCACCUCUGCCACAGCCUCGGGCUCAGCCAUGUGCAGGUGGAAGGGGUGACAGAUACCCCGGGACUGGACAGAGCCAAACCACAAGGGAGCUAACGUCACCAGCACCUUGCAGGGUCAUCCGAGCCUGCGUUACUUCCCCCCAGGCCUAACCCACCAACAGGUCCACCUGAUCAUCUGCUCUAAGCUUCCUAGCGUAGGCCAGACACCUGGCCCUGCCCACUGAGGACCAGGGCUUUUGCAUUUGCUGUUCCUUUAAAUCCCCACCUGAGACUGACCUGGCCAAGGUGACAGCCUGCAGAGGCAGGAUUUGAACCCACAUCUGAAAGCAGAGUCAUUGUCUGCAAGGCAUCUGGCUGAGUGAUUUGCUUUGUUUGAUUUGCUUUUUUAGGACGAGAUGAUGAUGCAGUCUCAAGGGCGGCCGCACAGGGGAAAUCUGAGUGUACAACCAGCCCAGCUCUGUCCUCACAGCCUCGGCACAGAGUUGCCCUCACUGAGCGGCAGCAGUGAGGGCGGUUUUGGAGCAGGGACACCAUGCCCCUUUGUACACGGUGGGCUUGGGAGCUCGAGAUGCACACCCAGACCUCCACACUGUCACCUUCGUCCGUUCCCCAGGGAACCACACAGCUGCACCAGCCCUUCUCCCAUCCCUGGUUUCCCCAAGCAAACCCAAGACUCACAGCUGAGCUCAGGGCCCAUGUCCCACAGCCAGGAUCCCAGGAAGGCCAAAGCAGCAGUCCGUCCCUCCUCCAUUCCUCCACCCGCCCCAUCCGUUCUCCCCAAACCCUGCACCCUCCCCUCCACACCUCCCUGCACUCAUCCCCACACCCCUCAACCUCCUUCCGACCAUUCAGCCUCCACCCACCCAUCCCUGCCACAUCCCUGUCCAUCCUCCAGCCAGAAAAUAUUUCCUGAGCUCUGGCUCCAUUCAUGAGGGAGGAGAAGAGGCUGUUUCCACGCUUCCCAACAUGACUGGGUGAAGGAAUUAUUCCUACAUCCAACCCCGUGAACACACAUUUUGCAAAUUCCGUUUGGAGCUGCAUCAUGCAAAUCCAGCUGUCACAAUUUCCUGGGAAGUUAUAGGUGUAGAAAAAAGACCAUCUGGCCCACUGGAGUCAGAGUGUGCCUGCCUAGGUUGCUGGGUGUGGAAUCUUUACAUUUCAUCUGAGAAGGCAAAAUAAAGACUUUCUG